CAGUAGCCGCGGUAAUACGAAGGGGGCUAGCGUUGUUCGGAAUUACUGGGCGUAAAGCGCACGUAGGCGGACAUUUAAGUCAGGGGUGAAAUCCCGGGGCUCAACCCCGGAACUGCCUUUGAUACUGGGUGUCUAGAGUAUGGAAGAGGUGAGUGGAAUUCCGAGUGUAGAGGUGAAAUUCGUAGAUAUUCGGAGGAACACCAGUGGCGAAGGCGGCUCACUGGUCCAUUACUGACGCUGAGGUGCGAAAGCGUGGGGAGCAAACAGGAUUAGAUACCCCAGUAGUCCCUGUCUCUUAUAC
rnacentral:rRNA from 1 species